GACGAACGCUGGCGGCGUGCUUAGCACAUGCAAGUCGAACGGAAAGGCCCUGCUUUUGUGGGGUGCUCGAGUGGCGAACGGGUGAGUAACACGUGAGUAACCUGCCCUUGACUUUGGGAUAACUUCAGGAAACUGGGGCUAAUACCGGAUAGGAGCUCCUGCUGCAUGGUGGGGGUUGGAAAGUUUCGGCGGUUGGGGAUGGACUCGCGGCUUAUCAGCUUGUUGGUGGGGUAGUGGCUUACCAAGGCUUUGACGGGUAGCCGGCAUGAGAGGGUGACCGGAGAAAUGGGGAAUGAGAUACGGCACAGACGACAACGGGAGGAAGGAGUGGGGAAUAGUGCACAAUGGGAGGAAGCCUGAUGCAGAAACGCAGCGUGCGGGAUGAAGGCCUACGGGUUGUAAAACGAUUUAGCAUGUGACGAAGCGUGAGUGACGGUAAUGGGUAAAGAAGCACCGGCUAACUACGUG
rnacentral:rRNA from 1 species